rnacentral:rRNA from 1 species
AUCGAACGCUGGCGGCAGGCCUAACACAUGCAAGUCGAGCGAGCGGCGGACGGGUGAGUAAUGUAUGGGGAUCUGCCCGAUAGAGGGGGAUAACUACUGGAAACGCGGGCUAAUACCGCAUACUCUCGGAUGACCCCAUAUGGGAGUAGCUAGUAGGUGGGGUACAGGCUCACAGAGGCGACGAUCUCUAGCUGGGCUGAGAGGAUGAUCAGCCACACUGGGACUGAGACACGGCCCAGACUCCUACGGGAGGCAGCAGUGGGGAAUAUUGCACAAUGGGCGCAAGCCUGAUGCAGCCAUGCCGCGUGUAUGAAGAAGGCCUUCGGGUUGUAAAGUACUUUCAGUCGGGAGGCGUUACCGACAGAAGAAGCACCGGCUAACUCCGUGCCAGCAGCCGCGGUAAUUC